rnacentral:rRNA from 1 species
AACGAACGCUGGCGGCAUGCCUAACACAUGCAAGUCGAACGAGACCUUCGGGUCUAGUGGCGCACGGGUGCGUAACGCGUGGGAACCUGCCCUUAGGUUCGGAAUAACUCCCCGAAAGGGGUGCUAAUACCGGAUAAUGUCUUCGGACCAAAGAUUUAUCGCCUUUGGAUGGGCCCGCGUUGGAUUAGCUAGUUGGUAGGGUAAAAGCCUACCAAGGCGACGAUCCAUAGCUGGUCUGAGAGGAUGAUCAGCCACACUGGGACUGAGACACGGCCCAGACUCCUACGGGAGGCAGGAGGGGGGAAUAUUGGACAAUGGGCGAAAGCCUGAUCCAGCAAUGCCGGGUGAGUGAUGAAGGCCUUAGGGUUGUAAAGCUCUUUUACCCGGGAUGAUAAUGACAGUACCGGGAGAAUAAGCUCCGGCUAACUCCGU